rnacentral:rRNA from 1 species
GUGAGGAAUAUUGGUCAAUGGGCGAGAGCCGGAACCAGCCAAGUCGCGUGAAGGAAGAAGGAUCUAUGGUUCGUAAACUUCUUUUGCAGGGGAAUAAAGUGCAGGACGUGUCCUGUUUUGUAUGUACCCUGAGAAUAAGGAUCGGCUAACUCCGUGCCAGCAGCCGCGGUAAUACGGAGGAUCCGAGCGUUAUCCGGAUUUAUUGGGUUUAAAGGGUGCGUAGGUGGUUUGAUAAGUCAGCGGUGAAAGUUUGCAGCUUAACUGUAAAAUUGCCGUUGAAACUGUCGAUCUUGAGUUCAAAUGAGGUAAGCGGAAUGUGUUGUGUAGCGGUGAAAUGCUUAGAUAUAACACAGAACACCGAUUGCGAAGGCAGCUUACUGGGAUGCAACUGACGCUCAUGCACGAAAGCGUGGGGAUCAAACAGGAUUAGAUACCCUAGUAGUCC